rnacentral:rRNA from 1 species
AUAGGUCAAGCUACAAAGGGCGCAUGGUGAAUGCCUUGGCAUCAGGAGCCGAUGAAGGACGCGAUAAGCUGCGAUAAGCUUCGGGUAGACGCACAUAGUCAGAGAUCCGAAGAUUUCCGAAUGAGGAAACUCACAUGGGAAACCCCAUGUAUCGUAAAGUGAAUACAUAGCUUUAUGAAGGUAAACCCAGGGAACUGAAACAUCUAAGUACCUGGAGGAAGAGAAAGAAAAAUCGAUUUUCUUAGUAGCGGCGAGCGAAAGGGAAAGAGCCCAAACCAAAGAUUUAUCUUUGGGGUUGCGGACAGAACAUUAACGAGAAAUUAU